rnacentral:rRNA from 1 species
UUUUAUUUGAGAGUUUGAUCCUGGCUCAGGAUGAACGCUGGCGGCGUGCCUAACACAUGCAAGUCGAGCGAACCCUUCGGGGUGAGCGGCGGACGGGUGAGUAACGCGUGGGUAACCUGCCUCAUACACAUGGAUAACAUACCGAAAGGUAUGCUAAUACAGGAUAACAUGUUUUUAUCGCAUGAUAAAAAUAUCAAAGCUCCGGCGGUAUGAGAUGGACCCGCGUCUGAU